rnacentral:rRNA from 1 species
CAUGGUUCAAAAGGGAAAGGAGCAAUCCGCUGAUAGAUGGGCCUGCGUCUGAUUAGCUAGUUGGUGGGGUAACGGCCUACCAAGGCGACGAUCAGUAGCCGAACUGAGAGGUUGAACGGCCACAUUGGGACUGAGAUACGGCCCAGACUCCUACGGGAGGCAGCAGUCGGGAAUAUUGCGCAAUGGAGGAAACUCUGACGCAGUGACGCCGCGUGCAGGAAGAAGGUUUUCGGAUUGUAAACUGCUUUAGACAGGGAAGAACAAAGACAGUACCUGUAGAAUAAGCUCCGGCUAACUACGUGCCAGCAGCCGCGGUAAUACGUAGGGAGCGAGCGUUAUCCGGAUUUAUUGGGUGUAAAGGGUGCGUAGACGGGAAGUCAAGUUAGUUGUGAAAUCCCUCGGCUUAACUGAGGAACUGCAACUAAAACUGAUUUUCUUGAGUACUGGAGAGGAAAGUGGAAUUCCUAGUGUAGCGGUGAAAUGCGUAGAUAUUAGGAGGAACACCAGUGGCGAAGGCGACUUUCUGGACAGAAACUGACGUUGAGGCACGAAAGUGUGGGGAGCAAACAGGAUUAGAUACCCUGGUAGUCCACACCGUAAACGAUGGAUACGAGGUGUAGG